UGGGGAAUUUUGCACAAUGGGGGAAACCCUGAUGCAGCGACGCCGCGUGAUUUAGAAGGCCUUCGGGUUGUAAAAAUCUUUUCUAUGGGAAGAAAAUGACAGUACCAUAGGAAUAAGGACCGGCUAAUUACGUGCCAGCAGCCGCGGUAAUACGUAAGGUCCGAGCGUUGUCCGGAAUCAUUGGGCGUAAAGGGUACGUAGGCGGGUAAGCAAGUUAGAAGUGAAAUCCUAUAGCUCAACUAUAGUAAGCGUUUAAAACUGCUCAUCUUGAGGUAUGGAAGGGAAAGUGGAAUUCCUAGUGUAGCGGUGAAAUGCGCAGAUAUUAGGAGGAAUACCGGUGGCGAAGGCGACUUUCUGGCCAUAACCUGACGCUGAGGUACGAAAGCGUGGGUAGCAAACAGG
rnacentral:rRNA from 1 species